ACGAACGCUUGCGGCUUGCCUAAUACCUGCAAGUCGCACGCUGAAGGCGGAGCUUGCUUCUCUGGAUGAGUUGCGAACGGGUGAGUAACGCGUAGGUAACCUGCCUGGUAGCGGGGGAUAACUAUGGGAAACGAUAGCUAAUACCGCAUAAUAGUAGAUGUUGCAUGACAUUUGCUUAAAAGUUGCAAUUGCAUCACUACCAGAUGGACCUGCGUUGUAUUAGCUAGUUGUUGGGGUAACGGCUCACCAAGGCGACGAUACAUAGCCGACCUGAGAGGGGGUUCGGCCACACUGGGACUGAGACACGGCCCAGACUCCUACGGGAGGCAGCAGCAGGGAAUCUUCGGAAAUGGACGGAAGUCUGACCGAGCAACGCCGCGUGAGUGAAGAAGGUUUUCGGAUCGUAAAGAUCUGUUGUAAGAGAAGAACGAGUGUGAGAGUGGAAAGUUCACACUGUGACGGUAUCUUACCAGAAAGGGACGGCUAACUACGUG
rnacentral:rRNA from 1 species